UCAGAUCUGACAGGAGCCUGGAAAAACAAUUUUUUGCUUGUGAACUGUGAAGAAACCUGGAGCUCACAUCAAACAAUGUCCUUAAACGCAGUCUGACGUGUCAUCCACGGGUCAGUGGCCAGCAAUCUCACCUCUGGGUCAGAAGUCUUUGGCUCAAGUCCCACGGCAAAGACUUGAGCACGAGAUACAGGCUGAUACUUCAGUGCAACAUGGAGGAAGAGCUGUGUUACCUCAUGGUCUGUCUAGGUAGACAAUGGAUGCGCCCGUUCCGGGGCGCAGACCUGGGCAAUAAAUAUGGAGAUCCUGGGCUGCCCAGACAUCAAGAUCCCCCUCUCGGUCUCGCGGAUGUGGUCCAAAGGAAUGUGAAGCAGUACAUUCGGCAUCAGCUUGGCUGCAGGAGCUGCCGGGAUGUGACGUGUAAAUAUAGUGCUGCAUGAAGCAUUCAAAGUGUUAACAUGGAUGACCGAACAAUCCUCUUCCUCUCUGGUCAGUUGACUGUCUGGUGGUUGCAGUCAAGAGAAUAACUGGAGGAGAAAAAGCACAGUGGAAAUUUCACAGAAGAGAAAAUCUGCUCAGGAUUGCGUGAAAGAAAAUAACAAUUGCCCAAAACAAUUGAGGGAAAUACUGAAUUAGUCAUUAAACACUGCAGAGCUUUUAUUUUUGUGGUUUCUGAAAAAAAACAUCUGUUGGAUUUUGGAUCCUUAUGUACUUCAUCUUAAAAGCAUCAGCAUUAAAAUUAAGCAUUAAAUAAUCCAGUCUUCUAAUGAGAACCUGUUCAGUCGAGGGCCACUGUCAGUCAAAAGGAUGGAUCUCUUCCUAAGCUGUUUCGGUAAAGAUCUGCAGUAAGAACUUUACCACACGCAAGGAAGCUGUACAGGAAGUACAUGCGGCAUGUUUUAGAAAAUGAUUUACAAUGUAUUGCACGCAGAGUGGGUAAUAAAAAACUAUCCAAUAUCCUUGAUGCAAGUUCUCAGACAGGUUGUAAUCCACUGUCACUGUCCUGCUUGUACCCUACAAAAGAAAGAGAAAAAUCCAGGCAAAACUACAAAGCCCAAAGUGAAAAUUGGGCAAUCUAAAACCCAAACCCCAUCCCCUUCC